rnacentral:rRNA from 1 species
UACGUAGGGGGCAAGCGUUGUCCGGAUUUAUUAGGCGUAAAGGGUGCGUAGGCGGUUUGGUAAGUCUGAUGUGAAAUCUAUGGGCUCAACUCAUAGUCUGCAUCGGAAACUGCCGGGCUUGAGUGUGGGAGAGGUGAGUGGAAUUCCUGGUGUAGCGGUGAAAUGCGUAGAUAUCAGGAGGAACACCUGUGGCGAAAGCGGCUCACUGGACCAUAACUGACGCUGAUGCACGAAAGCUAGGGGAGCAAACAGG